rfam:Salmo salar isolate Sally breed double haploid chromosome ssa09, whole genome shotgun sequence.
UGCAUUCAUGACUGUAAGUCACUUUGGAGAAGAGUGUCUGCUAAAUGGCAUAUA